AACGUAGGGGGCGAGCGUUGUCCGGAAUUACUGGGCGUAAAGGGCGUGUAGGCGGCCCGUGAAGUCAGGAGUGAAAACCCGGGGCUCAACUCCGGGAGUGCUUUUGAAACCAGCGGGCUUGAGUGCAGGAGAGGGAAGUGGAAUUCCCAGUGUAGCGGUGAAAUGCGUAGAUAUUGGGAGGAACACCAGUGGCGAAAGCGGCUUUCUGGCCUGCAACUGACGCUGAGGCGCGAAAGCGUGGGGAG
rnacentral:rRNA from 1 species